rnacentral:rRNA from 1 species
CAGCCGCGGUAAUACGGAGGGUGCGAGCGUUAAUCGGAAGUUACUGGGCCCAAACUACGCAGCGGUUUGUUAAGCGAGAUGUGAAAGCGCCGGGCUCAACCUGGGAGCAUGCAUUUCGAACUGGCAAACUAGAGUGUGAUAGAGGGUGGUAGAAUUUCAGGUGUAUCGGUGAAAUGCGUAGAGAUCUGAAGGAAUACCGAUGGCGAAGGCAACCACCUGGGUCAACACUGACGCUCAUGUACGAAAGCGUGGGGAGCAAACAGGAUUAGAUACCCUGGUAGUCCACGCCGUAAACGAUGUCUACUAGAAGCUCGGAGCCUCGGUUCUGUUUUUCAAAGCUAACGCAUUAAGUAGACCGCCUGGGGAGUACGGCCGCAAGGUUAAAACUCAAAUGAAUUGACGGGGGCCCGCACAAGCGGUGGAGCAUGUGGUUUAAUUCGAUGCAACGCGAAGAACCUUACCUACACUUGACAUACAGAGAACUUACUAGAGAUAGUUUGGUGCCUUCGGGAACUCUGAUACAGGUCUGCAUGGCUGUCGUCAGCUCGUGU